CAACAGUUUCCUCUCUACCUUUGUGGUGUUCCCCAGAACCAUAACAAACGCUGCUGUCACAACAUUCUCCCCAUCAGUUUAGCGCCCCUGGGUGCUACACUCCUAUGACGUUUGUUUCUGCUCGCUCUGUUCCCCACUGCUGUCAUUAAUCCCAUGCGGUCUCCCUUGUUGUUCUUUGCUAGACUCAUCACUCGACUUAACCUUUUCGCCUACAUCUAGAACCGCAAUUUUUGUCGCCGGACGUUCUAAAAUUCCGUUUACCGUCUGCACUGUCGCUCUUCUGACUUGCCCAUCCCUUGCACAAAUUACGCUUAAAACUCUCCCCAUCGGCCAACUUUUCCUCGGCAAAUUUCCGUCCACAAUCACUACGACAACAUCUACCUUGAUGCGCGGUGCCGGAUGAAACCAUUUCGAUCUGCGGGUAAGUGUAGGAAGGUAUUCCGCGAUCCACCUCUUCGAGAAAAGGUCCGCAUUCCUUUGUGUGUCGCUCCAAGACGAUUUAAUCGAUGCCGGGGAGUCAUCGAAGAACGCCGUAGUUUUUCUUCCGUCCGAGCUGCUUAGCAGUAGGUGGUUCGGGGUUAUGGGAAAGUCCAAGUCAUCAUCGAGCGGUAUGUAGGUCAGCGGCCGGGAGUUUACCAUCAUCUCAAUCUCCGUCAUCGUGGCGCUCCCAACAUCCACCAAAGUGCGGUGCGGCCGGCGGAUUGAAACUCUACUUCAGCUCGGGUGAGCUGAAUCUCGACUGCAGUGCAACCCCAUCUACUUCCUUCAGGGCAUCGUUGAGCUCUCGUGCGGCACCAAUGAAGUUAGUGCCCCUGUCACUAACAAUUUCUUGCGGUGAACCUCUUCUAGCGAUGAAUCGACGGAUUGCUAGGAUACAAGAAGCAGUAGUUAGCGAAUGGGCCAGUUCGAUAUGUAUAGCACGAGUCGUGAGACAGGUGAACAGCGCUCCCCAGCGCUUUUCCGAGCGUCGACCCACUACCACAUGUAUCGGUCCGAAAUAGUCCAGUCCUGUAUGUGUGAAAGCCCUUUGAGAUACGGCUAAUCUCUGGCGAGGAAUGUUGCCCAUCAACGGCGGGUUUGGUAAAGCAUUCUUCACCUUGCAGUGCUGACAGCCACGUCGAACCCGGUUAAAUUACAUCAGCAGCUUUGGUACGUAGUAACGUGUACGCAGUUGGUUUAUCACCGUUCUGUGGCUCCGAUGGCAGUACCGUUCAUGGAAGUCCCCGAUGAUUAAGUCGGUCACGUGAUGUCGUCUCGGUGAUAAUUUAUACAACACGCUGUCGCGAGCGAUCGGCUUCUUCCACGGAUGAUUUUGCUGCGCAUCGCUCUUGAGCCGCUUAAUGUCCGAUGAAAAUCCAUCGGCCUGAGUCCAGAUGAGCAGCGACUGCUCGGAAUCCAACAAUUCCUGCUGCGUCAAUGGACCAUUGAUCUUCGCUAACUGUUGAACAUGCCUUCGCAUGUUCCCGAUGAAACGUUGAACGUAACCCACUGUUCUCAACAAUCUUUUCCACCGCGAGAAUCGCGUGAAGUCAACUACGGUGGUAUCUGCAACUUGAUGCAUUAAACUGUGGCGAAAUUCUUCCAAGGUUUCACCUGGGUCGACAGGAUUAACCGGCCACUUAUCUUCCGACUCCUGCUGGAUGAACACAAGUCAGGAUUCCCUUGCCAUUUGGUUCCGUCGUCGGCAACGUUAACCUUGGUGGAGAUCCAGCGCCAUUCAUCCACGUUCGUUGUUUCCACUAAUUCGCUCACUCGAAAUGCGACGAAGGCACUAUAUCGUCUAUGGUCGGAGCGGAUCCAGCUCACAACGAUGCGCGAAUCCGUCCAAAAAAUCCUUUUUGUUAUUUUUAGGCGAUGCGCUUUCAUUAUGUGAUCUGCGAACCGGGCUCCUAUCACUGCCGCUUGGAGUUCUAACCGUGGUAUAGAUAGUAGCUUCAGUGGAGCAACCCUUGUUUUGGAACCUACAAUCGCACAUUCUACGACGCCGUUUUCCUCGUACCGCACGCAUGACGACGGAGAGCCAUUUCUCGAUUACAGGGGAGGCGUACGUUGUCGUACUUCCACAACAAUCCUGUUUCGUAUCGACCGUGUAGUAACCGUGUAUCGGAACUGAGCAUAGUAAUUGCUCUCUCCUCUUCCUUGGAAAGCAGUUUACGGGGAGUAUUGAUUCCCAUAAAAUCCAACGAAAAAUAUUCCUUCAACGCUGUGUUAAUGCUUUCCCCCCCAUUCUCAUUACAGAUACAGAUGCUCCUGAUUUACUCUCGUCCAUCUCGCUGUAUGUUCCCUCUCGUUCUCUUCGUCCACGUGAUCCUCUGUCAAUUGAAACACGUCAUACUCUUUAUACU